rnacentral:rRNA from 1 species
CCUACGGGAGGCAGCAGUGAGGAAUAUUGGUCCAUGGGCGCGAGCCUGAACCAGCCAAGUCGCGUGAGGGAAGACGGUCCUAUGGAUUGUAAACCUCUUUUAUAAGGGAAUAAAGUGUGGGACGUGUCCUAUUUUGUAUGUACCUUAUGACUAAGGAUCGGCUAACUCCGUGCCAGCAGCCGCGGUAAUACGGAGGAUCCGAGCGUUAUCCGGAUUUAUUGGGUGUAAAGGGUGCGUAGGCGGCCUUUUAAGUCAGCGGUGAAAGUCUGUGGCUCAACCAUAGAAUUGCCGUUGAAACUGGGGGGCUUGAGUAUGUUUGAGGCAGGCGGAAUGCGUGGUGUAGCGGUGAAAUGCUUAGAGAUCACGCAGAACCCCGAUUGCGAAGGCAGCCGGCCAAGCCAUGACUGACGCUGAUGCACGAAAGCGUGGGGAGCAAACAGGAUUAGAUACCCUUGUAGUC